AGUGCGAUCUAUGGAAGACGGGCUCGCCACGGCCGCUGAAGGACCGUAGGCAGGCUAAAGUUCUGCAGCCGUCGAACAAGGCCAGUCACAGCCGAGCCGCGGCGACGACGGCAGACG